rnacentral:rRNA from 1 species
UUAUUGGGCGUAAAGAGCUCGUAGGCGGUUUGUCGCGUCUGCCGUGAAAGUCCGAGGCUCAACCUCGGAUCUGCGGUGGGUACGGGCAGACUAGAGUGAUGUAGGGGAGACUGGAAUUCCUGGUGUAGCGGUGAAAUGCGCAGAUAUCAGGAGGAACACCGAUGGCGAAGGCAGGUCUCUGGGCAUUUACUGACGCUGAGGAGCGAAAGCAUGGGGAGCGAACAGGAUUAGAUACCCUGGUAGUCCAUGCCGUAAACGUUGGGCACUAGGUGUGGGGGACAUUCCACGUUUUCCGCGCCGUAGCUAACGCAUUAAGUGCCCCGCCUGGGGAGUACGGCCGCAAGGCUAAAACUCAAAGGAAUUGACGGGGGCCCGCACAAGCGGCGGAGCAUGCGGAUUAAUUCGAUGCAACGCGAAGAACCUUACCAAGGGCUUGACAUGUGCCAGACCGCCUCAGAGAUGGGGUUUCCCUUCGGGGCUGGUUCACAGGUGGUGCAUGGUUGUCGUCAGCUCGUGUGGUGAGAUGUUGGGUUAAGUCCCGCAACGAGCGCAACCCUCGUUCCAUGUUGCCAGCACGUAGUGGUGGGGACUCAUGGGAGACUGCCGGGGUCAACUCGGAGGAAGGUGGGGAUGACGUCAAAUCAUCAUGCCCCUUAUGUCUUGGGCUUCACGCAUGCUACAAUGGCCGGUACAAUGGGUUGCGAUACUGUGAGGUGGAGCUAAUCCCUAAAAGCCGGUCUCAGUUCGGAUUGGGGUCUGCAACUCGACCCCAUGAAGUCGGAGUCGCUAGUAAUCGCAGAUCAGCAACGCUGCGGUGAAUACGUUCCCGGGCCUUGUACACACCGCCCGUCAAGUCACGAAAGUUGGUAACACCCGAAGCCGAUGGCCUAACCACCUGGUGUGGGGGGAGUCGUCGAAG